CAACAACCGAAGAGUGCAAAAAGAACUAAUGCAUUCUCUAGGUAUGCCUGGAUGGAGCCUCUAAGACCUAACAGGAUGUCUGAGAUUCCAGGGAAGUGGCCUGUGAUCUGUCAGUAAACAAAUAAGAAGCUAAUACAGCUUUGUUGUGUUUUCUGAUUGGCAUGGUUCUGAACUAUCUCCUACUUGUAGUUGCAGACAAAGAAACAGGAGAUGAAUUACCAUGUUCUAGGACUUUGUGUUCCUUUCCAAUUCAAACUGCAAUAAGAAAUAAA
rnacentral:lncRNA from 1 species